AGUGAACGCUGGCGGCGUGCCUAAUACAUGCAAGUCGAACGAUGAAGUCCUAGCUUGCUAGGAUGGAUUAGUGGCGCACGGGUGAGUAAUAUAUAGUUAAUCUGCCCUACACAGAGGAACAACAGUUGGAAACGACUGCUAAUACCUCAUACUCCUAUUUGACGUAAGUUAAAUAGGGAAAGUCUUUUCGGUGUAGGAUGAGACUAUAUCGUAUCAGCUAGUUGGUAAGGUAAUGGCUUACCAAGGCUAUGACGCGUAACUGGUCUGAGAGGAUGAUCAGUCACAUUGGAACUGAGACACGGUCCAAACUCCUACGGGAGGCAGCAGUAAGGAAUAUUGCGCAAUGGGGGAAACCCUGACGCAGCAACGCCGCGUGGAGGAUGACACUUUUCGGAGCGUAAACUCCUUUUAUCAGGAAAGAAUAAUGACGGUACCUGAUGAAUAAGCACCGGCUAACUCCGUG
rnacentral:rRNA from 1 species